CCAUACGGCCAUACCACCCUGAACACGCCCGAUCUCGUCUGAUCUCGGAAGCUAAGCAGGGUCGGGCCUGGUUAGUACUUGUUGGCUAUUAUAUAUAUUUUUUACUGUAUUAA